rnacentral:rRNA from 1 species
ACGAACGCUGGCGGCGUGCUUAACACAUGCAAGUCGAACGAGAAAGGGACCUUCGGGUUCUGAGUAGAGUGGCGCACGGGUGAGUAACACGUGGAUAAUCUGCCUGAUGGACAGGGAUAACACCCCGAAAGGGGUGCUAAUACCGGAUAAGCCCACAGCAUCUACGGAUGCAGCGGGAAAAGGGGGCCUCUUCAUGAAAGCUUCCGUCAUCAGAUGAGUCCGCGGUCCAUUAGCUAGUUGGUAGGGUAAAGGCCUACCAAGGCGACGAUGGAUAGCUGGUUUGAGAGAAUGAUCAGCCACACUGGAACUGAGACACGGUCCAGACUCCUACGGGAGGCAGCAGUGGGGAAUCUUGCGCAAUGGGGGCAACCCUGACGCAGCAACGCCGCGUGAGUGAUGAAGGUUUUCGGAUCGUAAAGCUCUGUCAGGAGGGAAGAAACCCCGAACGGUUAAUACCCGAUCGGAUUGACGGUACCUCCAAAGGAAGCACCGGCUAACUCCGUGCCAGCAGCCGCGGUAAUACGGAGGGUGCGAGCGUUGUUCGGAAUUAUUGGGCGUAAAGCGCGUGCAGGCGGUUUGUUAAGUCUGAUGUGAAAGCCCCGGGCUCAACCUGGGAAGUGCAUUGGAAACUGGCUGACUUGAGUACGGGAGAGGGAAGUGGAAUUUCGAGUGUAGGGGGUGAAAUCCGUAGAUUUUCGAAGAACCCCAGUGGCGAAGGCGGCUUCCUGGACCGAUACUGACGCUGAGACCCGAAAGCGUGGGGAGCGAAAAGGAUUA